rnacentral:tRNA from 1 species
CGUUAUAUAGCUUAAUCAAAGCAUCUCGCUUACACCGAGAAUAUACCUGUGAAAAUCAAGUUAUCUCGA